ensembl:lncRNA
AUUAGAAAAUAAAAGUCUUAGUGGCUAUUUGCCCUAAAUGAAGAGACAUCUUUUUAUCCCAGUGCAACAACAGAAGCUAAAAUCCCUAAGAGAAAAAAUACUGUCUGUCUUCUCUCACCAUCGUUGUCCCGAAUUAGAAAUUUGGUCAGGAGUAAGACUAGCUUGGUUAUAGUCAAUGUUAUCACAUUCUUCUCCACUUCUCUCUCUUUUCCACGUUGAAUGACUGACUGAUUUAUUUUCUCCACGUAUGCAAUGUUUGGCUCCUGCCUGGUGCACAAGAAGAUCUUAGUUAUCAGAUCUCUUUUCCUCACUACCUUCGAAAAUUUUGAUUAUUACUUAAAUUGUAGUUCCCCUGACUUCUCUUUAGCUUGCUUUUCAAUUUAGACAACCAAUGGGCAAAUUUUGCCGUUCAGGAUAUAAUUUUUACACUCAGCCUAAUAGCUAAAUAAGCUUAGAAAUUUAGAAAAGGUAAAUUGGGCCACUUGGUACUUUUUCAUACAAGGAAAACAAAUUACUUGCGUGCUUGGGUGUUGCUUCUGGAGGAACUCGCGGGAGCAUUAAGCAGUCAGUACUGACUCUUAGAAUGACGUGAGUCUCUCCGCUCCUCUGAUGCCAACUUUCCAUCUUGCUAGGGUCGAAGAAGUCUGGGUCGGGGUGAAUAGGUACCAUCUUUGUUCUUAGAGGUGCGUGGUAGGGGCCUUGUUCCUGAUGCACACAAAGGCUAUUUCAGUCAUUUGAACACAUCGGAAGAGUUUAGGUUAGAAUUUUAAAGAAACGUAUGAAUUCUCGUUCCCUUCAAAUCUCAAUUCUCCUCCAUGAUAUAAAAUGAUCUUCUUUAAAAAGAUCAUAAAAUGAUCCCAUCUUACCCGAUCCAAAUGCCGAACAACAAACGGUCCACAUUUACCACGAGGAAGAGGGUUAAAACGUGCUCUCCAAUGACAACUCCCAACCCGGAACAGAUUCCAGCCAGGCAGCUAGCAGAGCUCGCUGGGUAAACGGCACAGGCCAUCGUGGGUGCAGAGCUCAGAGCCGGAAAGCAAACAGCUGCUGUAGCCUGAUUUGAGUUAAAAUAGUGUGAGUGUUUAGUCUGGCGCACGGCUUCAGGGGAGAUUGGCAGCUGGGUCAAACAAAGUCCUUCCAUUGGCUCUCUUCCCAGGCAGCUUCUGCUAGUAUUUAGGUACUAGUGCAGUGGAAGGCCCUUUUCUCAGGCAAAACCUAACAUCUGACCGCACCCUCUCUGCUUUUUCCAAAAAAAAAAAAAAAAAAAGCUUCUUUUUCCUUCUUUCGUUAAGAUAAAUUCUCCAGUAGACAACCUCUCCCACUAAUUGUGUAUUAGCAAUGUAUUUUAUCUUGAGAGCUGACGCACUGGGCUCUCGACGUGGUGUGGAAAGCAGCCUGUUACAGUGCUGGAUUCAUAAAAGGGUCUUUAUGGUUUGUGAAAGAAUAUCUGUGUGCUUGGGCAGGAAACUUUUUGAUCUGCAGAAAAGCCAGAAGACAUCUAGGAUGUCACCUUGUAGCAAUUGGCCUUUACUGACCCAUGAAAAUGGAUGGAGUUGUUCUGGUCUCACUGUGGAGAAGAUCAGGUUCACAGCUUGGAUGGGAGAACAGCAGAAGGAAUCACCUGAGAGGAAGAAGCUGAUCUUAAAAAAGAUAUCCUUGAAGAUUAAUCAGAGAACCUUUCAUUCACCCAUAAAGGAGGAUCUGUCAUCACACAUACAGAAGAUGUGCAGACCUGGAGGACAGCACCACACCAGCACAACCACAACAUCCUUAAGUUACACUUGGACUUCAGUUGAACAUAUUCAUUUGACUACAGAGAAACACUGCUAUCAAGUGAUGUGGUUGCUAAAAGAGAACACUGAACAGGUGUUCUCAGUUCUGAUUGUCAUGCCUUCCCAGCAGUACGCCCCAUAUUGUCUCAGAUCUGGAGCCGGUGUUGACUAGACACCUUUGGUUCAUGUUUUGCCUUUUUCCUAAGGCUUUACCACUUACUUCCAGGGACGCAAUUGGUGAAGCCAUGUGAAUGUUACUGUGUCAAGAGAGCCCUCAUGGUGCCUCCCAUUGAGUAGAAAGGAAUACCUUGGCUGUUUAUGACUUUGUUGCUUAAAUCUUCUAAUAAAAACUUCUAUUUUGCUAAACAGAGGUUCUUAUAGCCCUUCAUUUGCAUGAAAUGUAAAAUCAGUUAAUAUAUAAGUCAUGGCAACUGAAUGGGCAAGAAAGAUGCCAGACUUCCAUGACUACCAUGCUUCAUAUGUGAGCUUCAUUUGGUAUGUGAACCAGGAAAUAAAAUACCAUGCAUAUUUAAGAUAAAUUCUCUUCUUAAACAAAGUCAAAUUAAUAAGAUAACUAGCAAUUUUACCUGUCUGCAACAUUUUUAACUCCUCAAAUCUAUCAAUUUUAAACUAGAUAUGAUUUAUCUUUUCAAACUCUUAAUAUAGUACUAGACCCCGUUAAAAGUCCCAUGGAAGGAGAGCAUUUAUGACACACACUUUAAAUUUAGGAGCUUGAUUAUUUUUCUUAAUCUCCAGCCGGUUUAUUUCAGGCCUUUGUAAUCUGGUUUGUAUGCUUUCAUGGGGACGACCUUGGUACCCCAAAUUCUUAAACCAGCCAAAGCCUGAAAGAAUCUGCUAAUUACUUGUGGGCCAAAUCUCUAGAUCUGAGGAGGCCCAGAUAUCCAAAAGCAGUAAAAGAGGCAUUUUUAAAAAUUACUUAGGAAAGACCCAUAUACUCAUAAUUGUGUACUAUUCAGCUUCUCUGUUUUGGAAAGAUAAAAAUUGAAAUGUACACUGAAAACUGAAAUAGUUACAGCAAAAUUAAUGGUUAAAACUCUAAGCCCAGGCCAGUCCUGCGGCCUAGUGGUUAAGUUCCACACGCUCCACUUCAGCAGCUUGGAUUUGGUUCCCGGGCGCAGAUCUACACUGCUCAUCGGCAUCCUUGCUGUGGUGGUGACCCACAUACAAAAUAGAGGAAGAUUGGCAUAGAUGUUAGCUCAGGGCAAAUCUUCCUCAGCAAAAAAUGAAAACCCUAAGCCACUUAAAACACUAGUGUUACCACACUUAAAAACAGCACUCUUUUCCCCAGUAUGUGAUGGGUAGUGUUUUGCUAGCAAAGAUAUCCAUACAUGUAUGAACUUUAUGCUCAUGAAAAAAACUAAUCUUGGAAUUAUCAACUAAAUCAAUUCACAUAAAUUGCUUGUAAUUUGAGAGUGCUCAAUAAAUAUUAAUAUUUCUCUGUAUAUACCUAUCUAUUAAAGUGUUUUAAUAUGACUUUUAAGUAUACAUAUUAACUCAUAUCAGUAAUGAUAGAGCCUCAUCUUACUUUAUGGUCAGUAUUUUAAGGAAUCAUGUUUAUUUAAAGCUCCUUAUUCCAAUUGAAAUGUUUUCGUCACCUCACAUCUGAUACGAAGAUAAGGAAUGCUUGUGAGUUCUCAAUGAGUCUUGGUAUUUAGUUGAUUAUAAGGGUAAAAAUAAUAAGCAAUUUAAAUUUCUACAUUAAUUAUUUGAAGUUAGUUAAUAAAAAAAGAGACCAUUCUCCAUCUAUUCAUGCUAAUUUUCUAAAGAAAAUGUAAACAAUAUUAUCUGAAGACUCCAGAAUAUUCUUAAUUUCUAUGGUUUAAUAACUGCUUUUGAUAGUAUCUUUAAUUAAGCAAUAUUUUGUGGAAAACAGUCUUAUUUUUCAUGAAAAUAAUAAUUCCAUUGGAAGCCUACACUUUUACCCACAUGGCCUCAGUGGAGUAUUUUG